CCUCGGGAAACGGCCCCACGGCGAGUGAGCGGCAAGAGCUCAAAUUUGAAAGCUGGCUCCUUCGGGGUCCGCAUUGUAAUUUGCAGAGGAUGCUUCGGGAGCGGUCCCCAUCUAAGUGCCCUGGAACGGGACGUCAUAGAGGGUGAGAAUCCCGUAUGGGAUGGGGUGUCCGCGCCCAUGUGAAGCUCCUUCGACGAGUCGAGUUGUUUGGGAAUGCAGCUCUAAAUGGGUGGUAAAUUUCAUCUAAAGCUAAAUAUUGGCCGGAGACCGAUAGCGCACAAGUAGAGUGAUCGAAAGAUGAAAAGCACUUUGAAAAGAGAGUUAAAAAGCACGUGAAAUUGUUGAAAGGGAAGCGCUUGCGAUCAGACUCGCUCGCGGGGUUCAGCCGGCAUUCGUGCCGGUGUACUUCCCCGCGGGCGGGCCAGCGUCGGUUUGGGCGGUCGGUCAAAGGCCCUCGGAAGGUAACGCCCCCUCGGGGGCGUCUUAUAGCCGAGGGUGCAAUGCGACCUGCCUGGACCGAGGAACGCGCUUCGGCUCGGACGCUGGCAUAAUGGUCGUAAGCGACCCGUCUUGAAACACGGACCA
rnacentral:rRNA from 1 species